rnacentral:lncRNA from 1 species
AUGGACUGCAUUACACGAAAUAUCCUCCUGUUCUUGAAGGGUAUUGUGAUGCAAAUUGGAUUUCCAAUACUUCUGAGGCAAAAUCUACAAGUGGAUAUGUGUUCACUCUUGGUGGAGCUGCUAUCUCUUGGAAAUCAUCUAAGCAAACUGUGAAUACUCGUUUAACCUGUUACUGCCAUUGCCAUACAUUGUUAUAGUAUGGCUGCUCUUACUAGAGCACAAAGUCAUAUAUAUAUGGCAAGUCGAGACACAUUAGGCGCGGACAUAUUACAAUAAGAGACUUGCUGAAGAAUGGAAUUAUUUCCAAACCUGUUACUGCCAUUGCCAUACAUUGUUAUAGUAUGGCUGCUCUUACUAGAGCACAAAGUCAUAUAUAUAUGGCAAGUCGAGACACAUUAGGCGCGGACAUAUUACAAUAAGAGACUUGCUGAAGAAUGGAAUUAUUUCCAUUAGUUACAUAAAGUCAAAGGAAAAUAUAGCUGAUCCCUUGACAAAAGGCCUUAGUAGAGAGCAAGUUCUCUUCACAUCGAGGGGAAUGGGCUUAAAGCCAACACAAUGAGUCACCACCUGGCGGAAACCUAACCUAGCAACAUUGGAGAUCCCAUGGUCUAGGUUCAAUAGGACAACUAGUUGGGGAAGACUCAAAGAACCACCAACACCAAGGUAUGCUCACUCCUAUGAUAUCUAUUUUGUGUUUUUCCGUUGAUGAUAUAGGGAUGAAUUCUUUAUUCUUAAUAAUGCUGAUAGCUUCUAUAGUGGAAUAGUACGGAUUGUUCCAGAUUAGCAUUACCUAUGUGAGAUGGAUGUGAGGUCGCAUCUUUGGGAGCUGACAUGGCUAAGCUCUCUAAAAGUCUCAUGAAGAAAGGAUUGUUCACGACCGAAAAGAACACAACGGUAAGAAAUGAACCAUGCUUAGAUAUGAUAUGUGUGAUACUUCUUGUUUUUGAUUCUACUAUAAGAAGUGGUUAGUUC